rnacentral:rRNA from 1 species
AGAGUUUGAUCAUGGCUCAGGAUGAACGCUGGCGGUCUGCUUAACACAUGCAAGUCGAACGGAAUCUUUCGGGAUUUAGUGGCGGACGGGUGAGUAACGCGUGAGAAUCUGCCUUCAGGUUCGGGACAACAGUUGGAAACGGCUGCUAAUACCGGAUGUGCCGAGAGGUGAAAGCUUAAGUGCCUGGAGAUGAGCUCGCGUCUGAUUAGCUAGUAGGAGUGGUAACGGCACCCCUAGGCGACGAUCAGUAGCUGGUCUGAGAGGAUGAUCAGCCACACUGGGACUGAGACACGGCCCAGACUCCUACGGGAGGCAGCAGUGGGGAAUUUUCCGCAAUGGGCGCAAGCCUGACGGAGCAAGACCGCGUGAGGGAAGAAGGUCUGUGGAUUGUAAACCUCUUUUGAUCGGGAAGAAGACAGUGACGGUACCGAUCGAAUCAGCUCGUCUCCG